GAGCGUCUUCCCUGCCACACGAGCUCUGGACUAUAUUACAGCGCAUUUACAAAGUUCACACAGCUAAUAUAACCCUCAAAUGGAUCUUUACAAGAUGUUCGUCAUGCAUGCUGUAUGCAUGCUUCGAAUUAUGGGACAAAGGAAUUGUGCAGCAGCAGUUUGUUUAUGACAUGGAGAACUCCGACAAAAGUAGAAAAGGCGUGCGGACCCGGGCCAAAAGGAAUGCUAGCGUGGAGAUGGAUGCGUUGGAUUUGACUUCCGUCGGUGGCACUAGUGGUUUUGAAAGCAUGGGUCAACUUCUCUGAAGCAAGUUGGAACAUCUAGUCUGGACACUACAGAACAUACUAAAGCCCAUGUCUUGCUGUUUUAUUCACCUCUGUUUUUCUGAUUUUAAGUAUGAUAAAGACUUAACAGUGUAACAGUGUUCUCCAGGUGUUGAAUGAAAAUGCAAAAAGGCUGAACUGUUUUUCUGUUUUAUGACAUCUUUGUUUAACAUUAAACUCACAAUUCAUGUGCAUUGAUUGAUGUUUACAUUCCUGCAGAAAUGUCACUUUGCAUGGUACUGAAUCCAUCAGAUUAUUGACAAGUACUCAGAAAUCAUGACAGCAAACACGAUGUUGAUUUUGGAUGAACAUUUCUAAAACUAUGGCAAAACUUUUCUCAAGAUGGUUUAUGAGAAUUUGUGCUUAACAUAUAUUAAAUUUGUACCAUCAAUGUUUUUAUGGGUUUCCACAAUGACUUUUCCACAAUCCACUUCAACAGCUUUUGAAAGAAGGAACCUAGUGCUAAGUUGCAAAAUAUUUAUUUGACUCUCAAUUACAUACAUUAAGUCUUUAAUGUACAAGUAUUUAAUAUAGAUGUUCAAAAAGUACAGUACCAUCACUGUAUUCAGUUUCUCUAUUUACACACCUUCAGUUCAAUAACUUUUUAAAGGAGUCUCAAAACACAACAAGCUGCUAAAUAAUUAUCUGACCCUCUUCGUCAUAUCAGGAGUACUGAAAGUACAAUUAUUUGCUCUAAAAGAUACAUUUGCAGCGUCCCUGUAUUAUACUGUAUGUUUUUCUUCAUAGAGACACCCCCUUCAGUUCAAUAACUUUUUUAAAGAGGCUCACACUGUUACAAAACAAGUAGCUAAAUAAUUAUCUGACCCUCUAUAACAUAUCAGAAGUCUUGAAAGUAAAAGUGUUUUCUCUAAAAGAUACAUUAACAGCAUCUCUGUAUUAUACAGGUCCAUCACAAUACAUUAGAAUUUCAUGGAAAAGUUCAUUUGUUUCAGUAAUUCAACUCAAAUUGUGAAACUCGUGUAUUAAAUAAAUUCAAUGCAGACAGA